GUGUGUGAGGAUUGCCUGACAACUCCAGUGCAUUUGCCAAAGAACAGUGCCCUUGCACUGAAGACAAUGACUCAAGCACAAACCACCUUGGGAGCAGCUGUGUCUGUCUUUGUCCACAGAGCUUGGGAAGUGAAAAUUACACCCAGCCCAGCAUGCAAGCGAUGCAUUCCUAGCAAUGACAGCAGGAGGGACGUCCAGGGUCUGUGGAUAAAAUGACAGAAGCCCAUUAUGAUUGAUAAGCCUUGCUUAAGCUCAAGCAGGUAACAGGCCCAAAGUUUGGAGACAAGGGCCUCAGAGAUCCUACUAAAGGCAGCUCAU